GACAGAGGGUGCGAACGUUGUUCGGAAUUACUGGGCGUAAAGCGCAUGUAGGCGGCAGCGCAAGUCGGGCGUGAAAUCCCACGGCUCAACCGUGGAAGUGCACUCGAAACUGCGCAGCUAGAGUCCUGGAGAGGAAGGUGGAAUGCUUGGUGUAGAGGUGAAAUUCGUAGAUAUCAAGCGGAACACCGGUGGCGAAGGCGGCCUUCUGGGACAGUGACUGACGCUGAGAUGCGAAAGCGUGGGGAGCAAACAGG
rnacentral:rRNA from 1 species